GCAGCCCUAUCAUACUCUUGGCUGAUACUGAGCUUUUAGUCAACCACUGCCGCUUCAAAGAUUUGUUCUUUUUUUUUUUUUUUGAGACAGGGUCUCGCCCUGUUGUCACCCAGGCUGGAAUGCAGUGGCACCAUCAUGGCUCACUGCAGCCUCCACUUCCUACGGUCAAUCAAUCCUUCCACCUCAGCCUCCCAGGUAGCUGGGACCACAGGCACAUGCCACCAUGCCACGUUAAUUUUUUUAAUUUGGUAGAGACACGGUCUUGCCAUAUUGCCCAGGCUGGUCUCAAACUCCUGGGCUCAAGCAAUCUGCCCACCUCUGCCACCCAAAGUGCUGGGAUUACAGAUGUGAGCCAACCCAACAGGCCUUUUAAAAAAAAAGAUCAAUAGUUUUUCAGUUACUCUCCCUAAAGUCUGCACUCUGUGACUGUUUUUUUCCCCAUGAACUUUGAUAUAGGACCUUCUAUUCAUCCCUAAUAUGUUACAGCUUGGGCCCAUUAUUUCAACCUACAGCAGUUUUUCUGAAAGUUCAUUCCAUAAUUUUAUACUCCAGCAAUCUCUCCUAGUUUUGUAUCUCCCAUAGAUUUUAUCAGUAUACCUUUUAAUUUCCAUGAACAUUCCUGAUACAUGAUGGGGAGGCCGGAACAGAGCCCUAGGGCUCACCAUCAGAGACCAUCCACUCUGUUUACACAAAUUAGUCAGCAGUUCACCCUGGGUAUCAUUAGUCAGUAUGUUCAUGACUUCACCCAACUGCACGUCCACAAGCUAUGUCUCUUCCUCUUAUCCACAAAAAUUUAAUAGCAGGCAUUUCUUUAGCUGGGAGGAAUGAUCCUAUGACUUCAGCUACUGAUACAGGCCAUUCCAGAAGGUAUUUUGGAGAAACGUCUCAGCAUCCCAUAAAUAUCCCACGUAGGUGGUCCAGGCGGUUCUCUACCCAUCAGGCCAGCACUGCCAGUAAGCAUGAGCCUUAGCCACAAAGCCCUGGAUGCAAGAAUCUUCUGGCAACUCAAGGAGGUUCUCCCCAGACAUCCUGAGGUCUAGGCCCUUUCAUGACCUACUUUCAGCGGCUACCAAAGGGAAGAAGUUGCAGGGGACUGAUCAUCAAUGAAAGUUCCCUAAGUCUCUGUGGUUGGGCCAGAAAGCGUCCCCCUGGCUCGUGGUCACCAGCCUGAUCUGUCUGACAGCCAGAGGGAGGCCUUCUAGGAAAAUGCAGAGUGUGUAAGGCUGUGGAUGUCACCUGGCCCUUUAAGCCAGACAUCUCCAUAGGUUGCCCUCUCUGGGUUUCUGGAGAUUUGUGAGGGCCCAUGCUCCUUGCCUUGGAAGGAUCUCCAGCUUUCUCCAAGGCGUACAUCUUGUCUUGCAGGUUGUAAGGGCUGGAGGACAAGGGCCAUGUUUUCUUUCCCUGCUGGUAUCCCAAACCAGCAGGUACCCAACAAAUGCCCAGAAUAAAGGUGGGGCUAAGCUUUCCCAUCAUGGAAUCUCAGCCCUUCCACAGUAAGAAAGUCGUCUCCAACAUAUUUUUUUUCAGUCUUCUUUUUUUUUUUUUAGACGGAGUCUCGCUGUUGUUGGCUCAGGCUGGAGCGCAAUGGCAGGAUCUCGGCUCACUGCAACCUCCGCCUCCCAGGUUCCAGCAAUUCUCCUGCCUCAGCCUCCUGAGUAGCUGAAAUUACAGGCACCCACCACCAUGCCUGGCUAAUUUCUGUAUUUUUAGUAGAGAUGAGAUUUCACCAUCUUGGCCAGGCUGGUCUUGAACUCCUGACCUCAGGUGAUCCACCCACCUUGGCCUCCCAAGUGCUGGGAAUUACGGGCAUGAGCCACUGCGCCCGGCCUUUUUCAGUCUUUUCUGUGUUUAUUCCACCCCAUGAAAAUUCUGCUUUUGAAAUGACCCAUCUUAUUUCGCCCUGGAAUUAUUAAGCAUUGGAACUGGCACUUAGUAGGUAUUCCACAAACAGUGUGUGUUAAUUUAAUUGUUUGGGUAAUCUAAUCUAAUCUAAUGAAGUGCCACUCAGAGUCCUUUUUCCAAAAUCAUUUUUUUUUUCCUAAUGGCAGAUGAGCCUUCUCAUCAUUUUCUCAACACAAAGCUCACUGAUGUUUUGGCCUGUCUUAUUUUUUUUUUUUCAAGCCAUCAAUGAUCAAUGACUUUCUUAUGCCAAGAAGGCUGGGUCUUCACUGGACACUCCAAGUAGAUUAUCCUGAGGUUCAGGUUGAACAGAGGCCCAUCUAAGAUGUUACAAAUCAGCUCAUGGUCCUAUUAGGCAGAACAAGCUGUGAAGAAAUUAUUUGCUUCCAUGUGCUUCUCAUUGCUGUUUAGCUUAAUAUUUUAUCCUGGGAGAUUCUCCACCUAAGGGGAUAAUAAUUUCUGGCUCACAUUUCUGGGGAGAAGAGAAUUUGGGAGUUGGAGAUGUUGUUCCCAUUAGGUACCUAGAAUUUAUCUAUUGCAUACAAUGAUACAUAAGAUAUAGCCCCUGCCCUCUGGGAGCUUCCAAUCUCAUGGGAGAGAUAAGAUCCACAUAAGUGGGGGCUAAUUAUUGCUCAUGAGGUUAUAAGGAAUGAAGAUGGAAAAUUUUGUGAAACUGGGUUGGACAAGCCCAUCCGUCAGAUCAUAAACUUCAUGGUAAAGAAAGCAAAGCUGUCAUCAGUGACUGAAGACUGACGAAAGUAUAUCAACUCCAUCACAAUCUCUCUAGUUAUCUUCAAUAAAAUAGCAGCAUUUGACAGGUGUCAACCAUAAGCAGUCUCCUCCACAGCUGAGAGAAGCCUGGAAAUCCUUUCCUAUGCUAUACAGCAGGGUUGGGCAAAUUCCCAGCACGCUUGGGAACAUAUAUGGAGAGAGAAGGACUGUGUGAGCCAUGACAGUAAAGGCCACAGUCUUGGGAGAACUUCCUCUGGAACCCAAGUAGGGCAAUUUCAAGUCACCUUUCUUCUGCAUUAGUGCUGGGUUCAGCUGGAGGCUGAAGCACAGCGAAGGUUCCUUGGUCUGGAUUUGGGGCAGAUCCCAUAAUCCCUUGGGGGUGGCAUCUGACAUGUUCCUUGAGGACAGGAGUGUUAGCUGCCAAUUCCUCCUGUCCUAAGCCCCACAUAUGUUGCACAUAAGAGUAAUGUAAUAAGUGUGUGUUAACUGUUUGGAUAAAGAAUUUGCUGGAAAGCUAACCCUGAAAUUUAGCCAUAAAUGUGGAUUUUCAAAUGCUGAAAUUAUCAGUCUGGCAACAUCAGAAUCAAUCUGGGGCUGCUUAAAGAAAAAUAACCUAGUCCCAUAGCAGGAUAUUUUGAGUCAGCGGGUCAGUGGGGAGGCCCCAGUACCUGCAUUUUUUUUUUUUUUUUCAGACAGUCUCGCUCUGUCACCCAGGCUGGAGUGCAGUGGUGCGAUCUCAGCUCAGUGCAAGCUCCGCCUCCUGGGUUCACGCCAUUCUCCUGCUUCAGCCUCCUGAGUAGCUGGGACUACAGGCACCCACAACAACGUCUGGCUAUUUUUUUUUCUUUUUUUUGUAUUUUUAGUAGAGACGGGGUUUCACCGUGUUAGCCAGGAUGGUCUCGAUCUCCUGACCUCGUGAUCUGCCCGCCUCGGCCUCCCAAAGUGCUGGGAUUACAGGCAUAAGCCCCCGCGCCCGACCCAGUACCUGCAUUUUUAAAGUGAUUCCAACCCUCAGCUACAUUGGCCAGUGGUAGCCAGCUUCCAAGAUGGCCCCAGCAACCCUACCUGGUGUCACACAUUUGUGUAAUCUCCUCCCACUCUCUACCAGAGUUAGUCUGUGUGAUCCAUAGAAUACAGCAGAAAUGAUGGCCUAUCACUUCCAAGAUUAAGUUAUGAAACAUGACUUCCAUCCUGUGUUCUUUCUCUCACUCUCCUUUGCCUCACUCACUCUGAGGGAAGACAACCACCAUGUCCUGAGGCCACUCAGGCAGCCUACGAAGAGGCCACAUAGAGAAGAACAGAGGGCUGCAGUCUACAGCUAGCAAGGAACCACAGCCUGCCAACAACCAUAAGAGCCUGCGUGGGAGGGGACCUUCCAGCCCCCAUUGACAGCCUGAGUGCAACUCCAUGAGAGACGCUGAGGAGAAUCAAGUAGCUAAGCCCUUCCUCAAUUCCUGACUCUCACAAACUGUGCAAGAUAAUAAAGAUUCACUCUUUUCAGCUGCAAAACCUGGGGGCAAUUUGUUACGCAGCAAUUGAUAACUAAUACAUUUUCCCACCCAAAGGGCAAGCUCCUGAGCAUGGCACCGGAGGUGUUUCAUGCCCAUCUUUCCAGCUUCAGUUAACCCUACUCCCAGAUGCACUCUCCCUGAGAUCACGCUCUGCUUACCCCAGCCCAACCUUCACACCUCUGUGCCUCUGCCCAUGCUGUUCCUUGUGCCUGGAAUGCCCUUUCCCCAUGGAUGGGAUUCCCUUCUCCAGAAAUCCUUCCCUAAACUGCCCUUGUAUCUAAUCCCAUUGGGUGAGGUACCCUCCUUCCUGCUCACACACACUUCUUGAAAUCAAU
rnacentral:lncRNA from 1 species